rnacentral:lncRNA from 1 species
UUGGUGGAAAAUGUUUUCCGGAAAACAUUUUCUGAAAUUUUCGGUGUUUGUUUUGUGGAAAAUGAAUUCCCAUAGGAAAACAUUUUCCAAACACAGGUAAAAUCAGAAGCAAAUUCCAGAAAUUGUCUUACUGAUUUCUAAUCCGUAAGACAUUUUCCCUCUUCUCGUCUAAGCAAUGGUUCUCCUUCAUCCUCCGCCUCCUCAUCUCCGUUCGUUGGCCUCACCUCACCAUCUCUGCAUCGUCGUCUUUGUCGUUCGAUCAUUGGCCUUACCUCUGUAUUUUGAAAAAACCCUAAAAAAUUAAGGUCCACAAUCGAGAAAAGAAGACCUAGAAGGUUUCUCUCUCCGUCAUCAACAGGUGUUUUUUUGUUUAAUUCUUUUAAAAAUCCAAAGUGUUUGUUGAAGCUUCCAUUGUUGAAGAUUCUCGAUUGUACUGAAAUUGUUCGUAUAAUUUAUUUAUUUUUCUUAAUUAUAUGUGGGUUUACAAAAAUUCUUUAUGCUGUUUAGCUGUUACUUUUUGAACUGUGAUUUUUGUUGAAUUUUGGUAACCAAGAUUGAUUCUAAUAUGUUUGUGUAUCAAUUGGGG